rnacentral:rRNA from 1 species
GACGAAGGGGGCUAGCGUUGUUCGGAAUUACUGGGCGUAAAGCGAGUGUAGGUGGUUGUCCAAGUUGGAUGUGAAAGCCUUGAGCUCAACUCAAGAAAUGCAUUCAGGACUGGGCGGCUAGAGGACCGGAGAGGAUAGUGGAAUUCCCAGUGUAGUGGUGAAAUACGUAGAGAUUGGGAAGAACACCAGUGGCGAAGGCGGCUCACUGGCCCGGUACUGACGCUCAUGUGCGAAAGCGUGGGGAGCAAACAGG